UNGUUUUAGAUGUCCCCCUUUAUUGCUGUA
rnacentral:piRNA from 1 species